GUUUGAUUUCAGUGGUAAGAAUGAUAUGAUAUGGGGGGAAUGUUUGAUCUCACUGGUAAAAAUGAUCAGUUAUGUGGGGGAGUGUUUCAUCUCGGUGGUAAGAAUGAUCUGAUAUUGGAGGGAAUGUUUGAUCUCACUGAGCCUGGUGUAGCCUGGAAAGACUGUGGGCCGUAUUCCGACCGGGUGCAUCACAGACUGGUAUGGAAACUCCAAUCACAGGAACAUAAGCAGCUACAAAGAGUGAUGAACUCAGCAAAUCUCAUUGUGGGUGCAACUCUCCCUGCCACUGAGGACAUCUACAAGGGGCAAUACCUGAGGAAGGCAACGUCCAUCAUCAAGGAUCCCCACCGUGCUCUCUUCUCAAUAGUGCUGUAGGGCUGAAGGUACAGGAGCCUGAAGACUCAUGCCCCAAGGUUCAACAACAGCUUUUUCCCCAUUACCACUCCUCUCCCUGUCUCCCCUCCAUGAACUCUUUCUAAAUUUUCUGUUGCCUCAGUCAAGCAGCCAGCAUAAUCAAAGACCCCACGUCCUGAAUAUUUUCUCUUCUCUCCCAUUCCAUUGGGCAGACAACACAAAAGCCUUAAAGCACGUACCAUCAGGUUCAAGGACAGCUUCUCGCUUGCUGUUUUAAGUAUGUGCCUUUUAUACAGUGAAAUGAUCUGACAGUCUACCUUAUGAUGGCCAUGCACCGGACUGUCUGCCUGCACUUCACUUUCUCUCUAAAUGUAACACUUUACUGUGACUGCUUUUCCCUUGUAUGACCUCAGUGUGCUGAUGUGAUUAAAUGUACUUCUUCAGUGUA